rnacentral:rRNA from 1 species
GAUGAACGCUGGCGGCGUGCCUAACACAUGCAAGUCGAGCGAUUUACUUCGGUAAAGAGCGGCGGACGGGUGAGUAACGCGUGGGUAACCUGCCCUGUACACACGGAUAACAUACUGAAAGGUAAGCUAAUACGGGAUAACACAAGAGAGUCGCGUGGCUUUCUUAUCAAAGCUUUUGCGGUACAGGAUGGAGCCGCGUCUGAUUAGCUAGUUGGUAAGGUAACGGCUUACCAAGGCGACGAUCAGUAGCCGACCUGAGAAGGUGAUCGGCCCCAUUGGAACUGAGACACGGUCCAAACUCGUGCGGGGGGGAGCAGUGGGGAAUAGUGCACAAUGGGCGAAGGCCUGAUGCGGCAACGCGGCGUGAGCGAUGAAGGCCUUCGGGUCGUAAAGCUCUGUCCUCAAGGAAGAUAAUGACGGUACUUGAGGAGGAAGCCCCGGCUAACUACGUGCCAGCCGCCGCGGUAA